rnacentral:tRNA from 1 species
UAGUUGAUAGUGUAAAAAGCACAGCACUCUUUGAAAGUGAAGGUGGGUUAUCCCCUGAACUAA